AUCCAGCUGAUGAGUUUUAAAUAGAACGAAACGCAUUUCAUGGAU
rfam:Schistosoma curassoni strain Dakar, Senegal genome assembly, scaffold: SCTD_scaffold0001374